rnacentral:rRNA from 1 species
GACGAACGCUGGCGGCGUGCUUAACACAUGCAAGUCGAACGAAGUGGCGAACGGGUGAGUAACGCGUAAUCAACCUGCCCUUCAGAGGGGGACAACAGUUGGAAACGACGGCUAAUACCGCAUACUGAAGGAGGGGAUGGCGUCUGAUUGGCUAGGUGGGGGGGGAAAGGCCCACCAAGGCGAGGGUCAGUAACCGGGGUGAGGAGUAGAACGGUCACAAUGGGGCUGGGAAAAGGGCCAGGACUCCACGGGGGGCAGGAAGGGGGAAACUUUCGAAAAUGGCGGAAGUCUGGCGGAGGAACGCCGCGUGGUUUGUGACGGCCUUCGGGUUGUAAAGCUCUGUUAAUCGGGACGCGGUACCGGAAGAGAAAGCCACGGCUAACUACGUGCCAGCAGCCGCGGUAAUAC